AAGAUGUAACGGGGCUAAACCAUGCACCGAAGCUGCGGCAGCGAACGUAUCACUUAAAGCGAUUCAGCGGGUUACGAUUGACGGAGCGAAGCGACGUCAAAGCGUAUACAAAGUCGAGUCGGUUUAAGGAUACGUUCGUUGGGUAGGGGAGCGUUCUGUAAGCCUGUGAAGGUGGCCUGUGAGGGUUGCUGGAGGUAUCAGAAGUGCGAAUGCUGACAUAAGUAACGAUAAAGCGGGUGAAAAGCCCGCUCGCCGGAAGACCAAGGGUUCCUGUCCAACGUUAAUCGGGGCAGGGUGAGUCGACCCCUAAGGCGAGGCCGAAAGGCGUAGUCGAUGGGAAACGGGUUAAUAUUCCCGUACUUGGUGUUACUGCGAAGGGGGGACGGAGAAGGCUAUGUUGGCCGGGCGACGGUUGUCCCGGUUUAAGCGUGUAGGUGUGUGUUCCAGGUAAAUCCGGUUCACUUUAACACUGAGGCGUGAUGACGAGGCACUACGGUGCUGAAGCAACAAAUGCCCUGCUUCCAGGAAAAGCCUCUAAGCAUCAGGUAACAUCAAAUCGUACCCCAAACCGACACAGGUGGUCAGGUAGAGAAUACCAAGGCGCUUGAGAGAACUCGGGUGAAGGAACUAGGCAAAAUGGUGCCGUAACUUCGGGAGAAGGCACGCUGACACGUAGGUGAAGUGAUUUACUCA
rnacentral:rRNA from 1 species